rnacentral:misc_RNA from 1 species
GAUGAAGAACGCAGUGAAAUGCGAUAAGUAAUGUGAAUUGCAGAAUUCAGUGAAUCAUCGAAUCUUUGAACGCACAUUGCGCCCGCUAGUAUUCUGGCGGGCAUGCCUGUCCGAGCGUCAUUUCAACCCUCAAGCCCCCGGGCUUGGUGUUGGGGAUCGGCGAGCCUCCGCGCCCGCCGUCCCCUAAAUCUAGUGGCGGUCUCGCUGUAGCUUCCUCUGCGUAGUAGCACACCUCGCACUGGGAAACAGCGCGGCCACGCCGUAAAACCCCCAACUUCUGAACGUUUGACCUCGGAUCAGGUAGGAAUACCCGCUGAACUUAAGCAUAUCAAUAAGCGGAGGA